CCUACGGGAGGCUGCAGUGGGGAAUAUUGCGCAAUGGACGAAAGUCUGACGCAGCAACGCCGCGUGAGGGAUGACGGCCUUCGGGUUGUAAACCUCUUUCAGCAGGGACGAAGCGAGAGUGACGGUACCUGCAGAAGAAGGACCGGCCAACUACGUGCCAGCAGCCGCGGUAAUACGUAGGGUCCGAGCGUUGUCCGGAAUUAUUGGGCGUAAAGGGCUCGUAGGCGGUUCGUCACGUCGGGAGUGAAAACUCGGAGCUUAACUCCGAGCCUGCUUCCGAUACGGGCAGACUAGAGGUAGGCAGGGGAGAGCGGAACUCCUGGUGUAGCGGUGGAAUGCGCAGAUAUCAGGAAGAACACCGGUGGCGAAGGCGGCUCUCUGGGCCUUACCUGACGCUGAGGAGCGAAAGCGUGGGUAGCGAACAGGAUUAGAUACCCGGGUAGUC
rnacentral:rRNA from 1 species